AUUGAACGCUGGCGGCAGGCUUAACACAUGCAAGUCGAGCGGAGAUGAGGUGCUUGCACCUUAUCUUAGCGGCGGACGGGUGAGUAAUGCUUAGGAAUCUGCCUAUUAGUGGGGGACAACAUUCCGAAAGGAAUGCUAAUACCGCAUACGUCCUCGGGAGAAAGCAGGGGAUCUUCGGACCUUGCGCUAAUAGAUGAGCCUAAGUCGGAUUAGCUAGUUGGUGGGGUAAAGGCCUACCAAGGCGACGAUCUGUAGCGGGUCUGAGAGGAUGAUCCGCCACGCUGGGACUGAGACACGGCCCAGACUCCUACGGGAGGCAGCAGUGGGGAAUAUUGGACAAUGGGGGGAACCCCGAUCCAGCCAUGCCGCGUGUGUGAAGAAGGCCUUAUGGUUGUAAAGCACUUUAAGCGAGGAGGAGGCUACUGAGACUAAUACUCUUGGAAAGUGGACGUUACUCGCAGAAUAAGCACCGGCUAACUCUGUGCCAGCCGCCGCCGUAACAC
rnacentral:rRNA from 1 species